rnacentral:rRNA from 1 species
GAUGAACGCUGGCGGCGUGCCUAAUACAUGCAAGUCGAGCGAACAGAUGAGGAGCUUGCUCCUCUGACGUUAGCGGCGGGCGGGUGAGUAGCACGUGGAUAACCUACCUAUAAGACUGGGAUAACUUCGGGAAACCGGAGCUAAUACCGGAUAAUAUAUUGAACCGCAUGGUUCAAUAGUGAAAGACGGUUUUGCUGUCACUUAUAGAUGGAUCCGCGCCGCAUUAGCUAGUUGGUAAGGUAACGGCUUACCAAGGCAACGAUGCGUAGCCGACCUGAGAGGGUGAUCGGCCACACUGGAACUGAGACACGGUCCAGACUCCUACGGGAGGCAGCAGUAGGGAAUCUUCCGCAAUGGGCGAAAGCCUGACGGAGCAACGCCGCGUGAGUGAUGAAGGUCUUCGGAUCGUAAAACUCUGUUAUUAGGGAAGAACAAAUGUGUAAGUAACUAUGCACGUCUUGACGGUACCUAAUCAGAAAGCCACGGCUAACUACGUG